rnacentral:rRNA from 1 species
AAUCAACGCUGGCGGCGUGCCUCAGACAUGCAAGUCGAACGCGAAAUUCCCUUUCGGGGGGAGAGUAGAGUGGCGCACGGGUGAGUAACACGUAGGUAAUCUACCUCUGGGUGGGGAAUAACAGCCGGAAACGGCUGCUAAUACCGCAUAAUGCAGCGGCAUCAAAUGAUGACAGUUGUUAAAGCGGGGGAUCCUGAAAGGGACCUCGCGCCUGAAGAGGAGCCUGCGGCAGAUUAGCUAGUUGGUAAGGUAAAGGCUUACCAAGGCGACGAUCUGUAGCCGGCCUGAGAGGGCGGUCGGCCACACUGACACUGACAUACGGGUCAGACUCCUACGGGAGGCAGCAGUCGGG